CUUUUAAGUUUAUAUGGUGAACUUAUUUGCAAACAGUUGCCGAUGUACACAUCCAGCAGAUACAGAGCAACAUUAGCAUUCAUUUGGAGUCGUGCUUCUGGCCAUCUGGUGAAUGUUUUGCAAUGUUUGAGUAUCUGAACAUAAAGGGGGCAGUUUGGGGCAAAGUCCUUCACCGCCCAGGCUCUCAGGAUGGUCUGAUGGUCCUGAGAGGAAACAAUGAAAGCCAUGCGAUCCACCUCAUUACGACUGCUUAGAAUGAAACAAGCCUCGGCAUCAUCCAUUCUGCAGCAGCGAGACA